CACGGACCUACGGGAGGCAGCAGUGGGGAAUAUUGCGCAAUGGACGAAAGUCUGACGCAGCGACGCCGCGUGUGGGAUGAAGCUUUUCGGAGUGUAAACCACUGUUGCCAGGGACGAACAUCCUCUUUCGAGAGGACUGACGGUACCUGGUGAGGAAGCACCGGCUAACUCUGUG
rnacentral:rRNA from 1 species